UACGGGGGGAGCAAGCGUUGUUCGGAUUUACUGGGCGUAAAGGGCGCGUAGGCGGCCUGUGCAAGUCAGUUGUGAAAUCUCCGGGCUUAACUCGGAACGGUCAACUGAUACUGCCCGGCUAGAGUGCGGAAGGGGCAACUGGAAUUCUUGGUGUAGCGGUGAAAUGCGUAGAUAUCAAGAGGAACACCUGCGGCGAAGGCGGGUUGCUGGGCCGACACUGACGCUGAUGCGCGAAAGCUAGGGGAGCGAACAGG
rnacentral:rRNA from 1 species